rnacentral:lncRNA from 1 species
UUAUGAUUCGUGAAAUAAAAAACUGAUGGAUAAAUCAUUUUAUUUUCAUUCAUUUCGUUGGACUCCAACGUUGGAAACUUCAGCGUCGUCGCGUCUCUUUAUUAUUCGGGAAUCGAGACACCUGUUUGCUCACCCGUGUGUCGUGUCGCUGCUCGGACUGUAACUCGACACAUUUAGAAGAUCGACGAAAUCUGUGUAAAUGAAAAAAAUCGUAGUGUCAGUUAUGCGCACGAAGAGUCAAGUUUCUCGAUUUUUCGUUCCCGCCGCACGAUAAAAAGCUUUUUAAAAGUACUUUCAUAUUUUUUUGCAAAAAUCCCAUUAGCACGUUCUCGGAAUCGAAGUUUUUAUUGACAAUAAAAGUUACAUUGGAAAAUCGGAAUAUUUGCGAACUGGUGCUUCGAUAAAUAUGGUUCGGAAAAGGCUGCCAUAAAGAUCCGGAUGAAAAUGGACGAUUGGAAAAUUAAAAAAUGGCUAAUUUCAUAGAAAAUAAAUUUAAAUAAUAUUUUCGAGAAUUUAUUCCAAGCUUGCUCGAAUCGAGAUCCCAAAAGUUAAUUUCAGCUACAAUAAUUCGUUUAAACGGAGGGAAAAAAGGGCUCGAACUCACCGACUGUGACUGACUUCCGUGAGGCUUUGUUCUUCCUGCGGCGUUCCCCAAACAAAAUCUCGAAAUCUCGUUCGUUGUCGCUCGAGUCGGCAGAGUGUUGUUUCUCGUCGUCGGACCUUCCGGAAAAAUCAUCACUGUACCACACCGACUUGUAACGAUACAUGGCCGGGCUAUUAUAACGCUUAAAACACACAUUUGCGCGUACGUAUGUUGAAUUUAUGAUGCGACGUUAAAUUUGAACGGCGCGUGGCACGCGGGUAUUUAUUUUAUUGUCUUAGAAUCGACGAGAAGAAGCGACAGGAAAAAAAUCGUUUGCAUUAUUUACACUGAAAAAAAAACCUCCUCGCGCAAUACUUUCGGGACGGAAAAUACGCCAAAGAAUAAAUGUUCGCUGCGCGCGUUGUCCGCAAGAGGCUAUAAAAGAGUGUGGCUAAAUCGACGCUGUUUCGAUGCCAGGUGAAAACACAAGCGUUCGGCGCACACGUAUCGACGAUCCGAAAGCCUCGCAUCACACUAAAUAAUUAGUUCACGAUAACGAGACGAUUCCCGGCUAGUCUUGCACCCUUUUGAACAACCGAAUGAUUCGCUCUUAACCGUGAAAUUUCACGAAUUGCCUCCCCGAUUUCAGAACGCCCCGUGUCUGGCGGUUCACGCUUUGUAUAAAUCACGAGAAUAAGAUCGAGAGAAAACCUUUUCUAUGGAAAAAAAGGUUUUCGAGUGACAGGAAAACUUGUUUUUAUUCGAUUCAUGAAAAAGUGUCAAAAAAUGAAAAUCGACGGGGCUAAGACAACUCAAAAUAAUCUCCUUAAUGUUCUCGGUUGAUCGUAAUGUACUCGAAAAAAGUGUUUGGACUUGAGACAUCGAGAAAAAAAGAAGGAGAAUUUCGUGAGGAAAUAUGAAAAUACUGAGAAUACAACGAAGAUUUGGUGAAUCGACAAGGGACAUAAAUUAAACAGGCGGCAUACGCGUCCCCAAUGCUCCAAGUUAUAGCUGUUUUGUGAGCUUAUCGUGCAUAGCUUAAGGCGCGACAGAAUAAUAUACUACGUCCAACGAUAUGCGUACAAAAAAAGAGGGAAAAGAAAAAAAAAGUACGUUAAAAGUUGAGUACGACACGUACAGCGUAAGAAAAUUAAUAGAAACUCGAUUCAUCGAGAUAUGCACUCCUCGGUUCGCUAUUUCCGUGUAUAGUUCACGUCGAAGGAGAAAAAGUUGGAUUAGUUUUGUGUACGAUCGUCGAUCAAACGUAGAAACAAAUAAAACCACGCCGGUUGAUAAAAACAACGCGUGCACUCGCGCCGGAGUUGCUAGAGGUCACUGUAUAUACCUACGCGUCAGUUUAAUUGUCCACAGGCUGCACCUAUACCCACGAUAUAUAAAUUCAGAUUACACUUGUGCAAUAACGGGGCUUUAUAAGCAGCCGAUGAAAAGCGGUUUUUCACUUGAAUUUUGUAAGAUUUAUUAUUUUCCACGAAUCAGUACUUUUUAUUGUGCAAAAUACAUUUUUUCUUAUCGCGUUCCCGAAAAUUCUCAGUAGAGUAUGUUAUUCGUUGAGUAGAAGCGGUUCGGAUUCUUGGAAUUAAAAAAAAAAAUUGAUUUUAAUGUGUAUUGACGAGAAUUUUAGGUUAAAACGUUUGUUUUCUAUUGAGUUUCAGGGAAAAUGCCUUAAUUUGGUUUAUUUGUUGAAUGAGCGAGUUUGAAACUCUAAAAAGAUCUAUUUCGACGAAUUUCGUUGACAAGCGUUGGUUCGAAAGUGUUUACGUAGGACAUCACCCGAGUUACUGUUUCGUAAAAAAUACCCGGCGAAUUUAUUUGGUGGGAGGAAAACGUGCUCUCACCUUGAAUCGUCCUUGGUCACAUUAUUAUUUCCAUCUUGCACGCGACGCUGCUGUAUCUUUGUGACCCAACGCUUGGACGCUUUUUUGAACAAAGCAUAAUUCACCCAACCGUCACCCGAGCAUUCCGCGAUUGACUUUUGCAGCUCAUCGAGAAGAUGUUUAUCUCUGUCGAAUUAUCGUUCGAUAGUAAACACCGCACGUGUUUUCUUGGAUCGUAUUACGGAAAUCGUUUGCGACAUGCAACCCCCAAAAUUUUGCAAAACUUGAAUUCCAUUUCAAAUGAAUUUAUUUUUUGUGUUAUUCGUUCAUUUAAACGCAGAAUAUUUUCUGUUAGAAAUCAACUUGGGAUAUUUCACCUGAAUAUUUCUCCGUGAGUAUAACUAUAAAAAACCGAUCCGUAUGUAAUUUCGUUACCUAUAUUUGCCGGUAGCGAUUCUUUCAAUAUAAUCAACGAGGGUUUUGACCGUAACAUUGCUGGUCCUCGACGACAAUGGCGAAAGCGAUGAAAACGACGACGAGGACGACGAUGCGAGACAGUCGUAAAAUACUCUCCGAGCAACUGUGUAAGAAAUUUGUCGAUACGUCGAUAUAAUAUCACACGGUUAUCUGUACACAUAUUUAUCAUACGUAUAAACUCAUGCAAAUUUAGAAACGACCUGAAUUUUCCUUAUUUACAAAACGUAUCCUUGAACUCAAUGAAAUUCGUGUGUAGUGAAAUAGUCCACUUCCGAGCAUGAAGCACGUAUAACGCGAUGUAAAAAUGAAAAUAAAUAUUCUCCGUACGAAGAACAAGACUUCCAGACAUUUUGAUGGUGUAAAGCUUAUUGAAACGGUGCAUCAUCUUUCCGGGUACAAAAAAAUGAUGAAAUCGAUGAAAAAGUUAAUUAAUAGGCGACUUGAUCGAUCUUACCCUUUUCCCAUUCGACCUGGUCGAUCUCGAUGAACUCGUUGCUCAUCGUCCCUUUUUCUUGACAACCAAUAUUUAUGUUACAUCAGAAAUAGUGAACGCGUAAUAAGUACUGUAGGGAAAAACCGGCAUCGCCGGCUAAUACUUUAACGAAAUUAUGUCACAAUCGAGCGGAAAAUACGUAGCACAAACACCCCUUCUAUAUCCGUAUAAGAGUUCCGAUCGAAACUUUUCGCGGGCUACAACUUCACGAUAACCAACUUGUAACAAAUUUCCACAAUAGUUUUCGUCUACGGCUAACGUAAUAAUCCAGUACGAUAAUAAAUCCGUUUGUGAAUAUGGCGGCCACGUGACCAAUUUAUUGUUAUUCACUUGGAUCUAAUAUUUUUAUUUAUUAUAUACUAGUGUAAACUCGAAGACACAAAAUGUUUGUUUACUAUUCAGCCGACAGGCAGACGAAAGAGGUACACUGCAAAUGCCAGUCGCGCGCGUUGCGAUGGUAAUCCUUCGUCAAAUCCAGGUGAAAAAAAUCGCAUGAAACGAAAAACGCGGCAGCGGCCAAAAUUAUUUGGCUGGAUACUAAAAGAUUAUUUCAAUAAUUGACGUUACCGGUCAUUUUGGAUUUUUGACAGAUGUUUUCACAAGCAUUUUUUUUUCGACGGGUUUUAAGCACAAAACGUGUCAUCACUUAAAUACUGAUUACGAUUUAUAAAUAAAUUAGUUUUUUUUUCACAUUUGUCCAGUAGUACAACAAAUAUGUUCAUUGAAUGAAAUAAAUAAAUAGAAUUUAGGUUGGUAUAUUAAGCAGGAAUAUACGAAUGAAGACAAAUGCCAAGCGACAACCCGGAGAGACAAAUCGAAACUGGUGAUCGAAAAUCGAGCUUCGUUGGGUUGUGCUCCGUCGAUGUAUUUACGCCCGCUUUUCUUGUGUACGCACAGCAGCACUGUACAUCAGUUUUGAAUUUUUCUUUAGAAAAUUCAAGCCCUCUGCCUUUAUGUAGGGUAACUAUUAAAACGUUUACGACACGUCGAUAAUCGGCUCAAGUUUGUUAGCCAAACGAUCAUGCGAUUUCUUCGCAUUGUCUCUCUCACAUAGUCGAGUCGUCCCUUCAGUCCUCGCGGUUCGAACGAGGCUAAAUCCCGCAUUGACAAAAGAUUGGGUCUGCGUGACUUUCCAAGGGACAGUAUUUCGAAGAACAGAACUCAUAUUAUUACCGAAUAUAUCACUUUGCCCGGGAUUUACUCAUAAUAUUGUUUUACCUGGAAAUUCAAACCCGUCCAAAGUUUUAUUCUUUCGAAAGGCUUUUGUUGUCACUUCAUAGCAGGUAGUUGGCCCACCCUUCGUUUGCUCCAGAGUCCCUCUUGCUCUUUCACAAAUCCGUGUGCCUUCGAUUUAAUUACUUUUCGCAAAAAAAAAAAAAAUUUAUUCAAUCUCGACAGUUGAUUUUCAGUAUGUUAAUGUUUUAUUUAAAAUUUUGUCUGUCAUCAACGUUUUCUUUUUCACACGGGAAAACGAUUCUUCUUUUUCAUUGAAACGCUUCAUUUUCACGUGACCGCUGGUAGUCGUAAAAACGACGAAGCUAAUAUGGAAGGAAUUCGAUGUAAUUUGUUGUCGUUGAAAAAAUAUGUUCACAACUCUGGGGAUUUGAAAAUCAUCGUUUAUUUCGAUAACAAUAGCCUCCGUAUUAAAGACACGAGUGUAUUAAAAUAUCAAAUGUAUUAAAUCGCAUAAACGUAUUUAUUGUUGUACAAAAAAAAAGAUAUACAAUGGACCGAGCUUACUUGCCAUAACGCAAUGUAAAUAUAUAAAUAUAUAGAUGAUCCGUAUAUUUUAAUGUGUAUAUAUAACCACGUGUUAUUUCGUACAAACCGCGUGUUUGACAACAACGUGUGAAAGCGUAACCAGCGCUCCCGCUAAACUCUCGUGCAAAUUCAUAGCGAAUCGAUAAUUCGAUGUAAGAGGAAUCAAUGAAUGACGAAUAAAUAAAUAAAUAAAUAAUGAUUAUUA